rnacentral:rRNA from 1 species
AGUGAACGCUGGCGGUAGGCCUAACACAUGCAAGUCGAACGGCAGCACAGUAAGAGCUUGCUCUUACGGGUGGCGAGUGGCGGACGGGUGAGGAAUACAUCGGAAUCUACUUUUUCGUGGGGGAUAACGUAGGGAAACUUACGCUAAUACCGCAUACGACCUACGGGUGAAAGCAGGGGAUCUUCGGACCUUGCGCGAUUGAAUGAGCCGAUGUCGGAUUAGCUAGUUGGCGGGGUAAAGGCCCACCAAGGCGACGAUCCGUAGCUGGUCUGAGAGGAUGAUCAGCCACACUGGAACUGGGAGAAGGUCCAGACUCCUACGGGAGGCAGGAGGGGGGAAUAUUGGACAAUGGGCGGAAGCCUGAUCCAGCCAUACCGCGUGGGUGAAGAAGGCCUUCGGGUUGUAAAGCCCUUUUGUUGGGAAAGAAAAGCAGCGGGUUAAUACCCCGCUGUUCUGACGGUACCCAAAGAAUAAGCACCGGCUAACUUCGUG